rnacentral:ncRNA from 1 species
AGGGCUACAUUUNCUAAUGCAAGUAUCCGCCCCCCUGUGAAAACGCCCUUUCACCCCUCUUAUGGACAAGGAGCUGGUAUCAGGCACGAAAAUCUGCCCAAAACACCUAGCUAUGCCACACCCACAAGGGAAUUCAGCAGUGAUUAACAUUGAGCAUUAGCGAAAGCKUGACUCAGUUAUAGUGAAAUAGAGCCGGCCAAUCUGGUGCCAGCCGCCGCGGUUACACCACGUGGCUCAAAUUGACCCCAUCCGGUGUAAAGCGUGAUUAAAAGAGUUAAAUUAAAAUUAAGCUGUGACACGCCUAUUUAUUGAGAAACCCUAAAACGAAAGUUACUCUAAUACAACCGACUUGAAUUCACGACAGCUGGGAAACAAACUGGGAUUAGAUACCCCACUAUGCCCAGCCGUAAACUUUUAAUUACACCCAAACCACCGGGGAACUACGAGCCAAGCUGGNUGUACCAUGGGACUGUAGGGNAYCCASAUCCCCCUAGAGGAGCCUGUCCUAUAAUCGAUAACCCACGUUUAACCUCACCAUUUUUAGUUAAUCAGCCUGUAUACCUCCGUCGUCAGCUUACCACGUGAGCGUUAGUUAGUGAGCCCAAUGUAUUUCACCAAAACGUCAGGUCAAGGUGCAGUAAAUGAAAUGGAAAGAGAUGGGCUACACUUUCUACUUUAGAAAAAACGAAAAACUACCUAUGAAAUCUAGUUAAAAGGCGGAUUUAGUAGUAAAAAGGAAUCAGCAUGUCCAUUUUAACCCGGCACUGGGGUGUGUACACACCGCCCGUCACCCUCUUCAAAGCUGCUAACAUAGUUCUUAACAAAUAAAGGCGCAACAGAAGAGGCAAGUCGUAACACGGUAAGUACACCGGAAGGUGUGCUUGGAAACGCAAUGUAGCUUAACUAAA